rnacentral:lncRNA from 1 species
AUCAUAUUCUGGAACCUUUUUCAAAUGAAAAUGCAGUAUCGUCUUGGUUGAUCGUUGUACAGUAAAAGGCUGUAGUUUAGUUCAAGCAGCAUUUUGGAGGCAGGCUCUCACCUUUCCUGCAUGGGAUUUUCCCUUAAGAUGGUGCCACCCUUAGAGGCCAGGAACGGGAGUUCUCCUUGCAUUAACACCGUCCUCCUUCUACAAACUGAGGCAAAAACCAUGACAACAGUGCAGCCCUGGUUUGUGCCCUGGAGGGUAUUUGCCCAGCCACAACUGUCGCCAGCCGGGUGCCACAGGUCUGUGAUGCCUUAACAAGAACUAGUGGCAAUAUGAUAAUAUGAAAUGAUGCUUUCCUCUUCUGCCUGUUUCUUUGCCUACUCAGUCUGUGAACUUUCCAAAAUAGCUUACUACAGCCCUUCAUCG